GUAUCCCCACAAAAAUUUUCAACCCCCUCCCCUCAUAUUUACCCCUCGAACCCUCCCUUUUCCCUGUUGCCUGCAAAAACCAACUACAGCGGAACAGCGCUGCAAAGAGCACCCAGCGGGAUAAAUUGGCGUUACACAGGAUAUUUUGCCAAGAUGGCUGCCAACUGGUUGUCUUAAGGCUCGCAGGUCCAGUGUCUAAAAAAUAAUUUACAAUGGUUAACGGUAAAAUAAUGACGUCUUCUAGUUGGAUAAAAUCGAUAUGUACUAUGAUAGGAAGUCCGAUUACUUCUGCAAUGCUCGCGACAACCUAUAUUGGCAUGAGAGCAUAUGAUUAUUUUUUUCCGUCCCAAGCUUGGUUGGAUCUUAAGGAAACCCUGGACAGAGUAAGUUCGAUUUCAAAGAAAACCCUGGACGAAACAAGUUCGAUUCCACGCCGUGAUGUAUAAUUAGGAUGAAGUCUAUUUGUAGUAGCAUUGAGGUGUGCUCACCGAUGUAUUUAUUUUCAAUGUUAUCCUUUAUUUCAUAGUAAGAUGUGGAUCUGAUCCAGUUUUGUGUACUUAAUGAUAUGUUUUUAAUUAUAUCUCAUAAAGAUUAUCAUCGGGUA